rnacentral:rRNA from 1 species
UACGGAGGGGGCUAGCGUUGUUCGGAAUUACUGGGCGUAAAGCGCACGUAGGCGGCUUUGUAAGUUAGAGGUGAAAGCCCGGGGCUCAACUCCGGAAUUGCCUUUAAGACUGCAUCGCUAGAAUUGUGGAGAGGUAAGUGGAAUUCCGAGUGUAGAGGUGAAAUUCGUAGAUAUUCGGAAGAACACCGAUGGCGAAGGCAAUCCCCUGGGCCUGCACUGACGCUCAUGCACGAAAGCGUGGGGAGCAAACAGG